UGCCAACAGCGUGACCAUGAACCCCUGGU
rnacentral:piRNA from 1 species